rnacentral:misc_RNA from 1 species
GAUGAAGAACGUAGCAAAAUGCGAUAAGUAAUGUGAAUUGCAGAAUUCAGUGAAUCAUCGAAUCUUUGAACGCACAUUGCGCCCGCCAGUAUUCUGGCGGGCAUGUCUGUUCGAGCGUCAUUUCAACCCUCAAGCACAGCUUGGUGUUGGGACUCGCGUUAAUUCGCGUUCCCCAAAUUGAUUGGCGGUCACGUCGAGCUUCCAUAGUGUAGUAGUAAAACCCUCGUUACUGGUAAUCGUCGCGGCCACGCCGUUAAACCCCAACUUCUGAAUGUUGACCUCGGAUCAGGUAGGAAUACCCGCUGAACUUAAGCAUAUCAAUAAGCGGAGGA